AUGGGCCUGGAUUUUUUCUGAAGAAACAGAAAUGAUUUGGGAGGUUUUAUUUGGAGGGUUGAGAAGGGUCUAAAGCUGAAUGUUUUUCCAACCAAACCCCCAGAUUGGUUGGUUCUAAUCACUUUGUGACAUCAGGACCACCAAGGAGAUGAAACCUUAUCAGUGCAGACUUAUUUUAAGAUACUUUGUAGGAGAGGUGCUGCAUGAAUUAAAUGCUUGACUGAGACAAUAAAGUAGAUGGAAGAAAACAGCUCAGAAAGAAAGCGGAAACUCAACAGCAAAGACUCUACAAGGGACAUAAACAACUUCCUGAUGCUUACAGUGAUAAUUCAUCCUCCAGCAACAAGAGUGAGACUGAAAUCAGACACACUGCACAGAAAGGAAGGAGAGUCUUGCAGUUAGGAACUGAGAUUCAGGAGAUUUGGUUCUGUUGCCAUCUCUGCCACUGACAUCUUGUGUGAAGCUGAUUUACUCGCAGCUUGCCUGCGGACCUGCAGCUCAGUAUUUACUUGGAGGAUGCCUGCUUUCUUGGGCAGAAACAUUAGGAGUGUCGGAGGUUUGUUUUGGAUCCCGUAUACGUUGCAGAGGAAGGGUUUGUUCCGUCAGGUCCCUUCUGGGUGCAUUUGCUGCAUGGCAUACACAAGAACAGUCUCUGUUUGAAGUCAAUGAAAAUUCCAUUGGAA